CGCGGCCUAUCAGCUUGUUGGUGAGGUAACGGCUCACCAAGGCAUCGACGGGUAGCUGGUCUGAGAGGACGAUCAGCCACACUGGGACUGAGACACGGCCCAGACUCCUACGGGAGGCAGCAGUAGGGAAUCUUGCGCAAUGGGCGAAAGCCUGACGCAGCAACGCCGCGUGGGGGAUGAAUGCCUUCGGGUUGUAAACCCCUUUCAGCAGGGACGAAAAUGACGGUACCUGCAGAAGAAGCUCCGGCCAACUACGUGCCAGCAGCCGCGGUAAUACGUAGGGAGCGAGCGUUGUCCGGAAUUAUUGGGCGUAAAGAGCUCGUAGGCGGUUCGGUAAGUCGGGUGUGAAAACUCAAGGCUCAACCUUGAGACGCCACUCGAUACUGCUGUGACUUGAGUCCGGUAGAGGAGUGUGGAAUUCCUGGUGUAGCGGUGAAAUGCGCAGAUAUCAGGAGGAACACCAGCGGCGAAGGCGGCACUCUGGGCCGGUACUGACGCUGAGGAGCGAAAGCAUGGGGAGCAAACAGGAUUAGAUACCCUGGUAGUCCAUGUCGUAAACGUUGGGCACUAGGUAUGGGAUCAUAUCAACGGAUUCCGUGCCGUAGCUAACGCAUUAAGUGCCCCGCCUGGGGAGUACGG
rnacentral:rRNA from 1 species